UGCUGUGGUUUGAGUAAUCAAUUGCAGACACUAUCGACACUUUUUAUGCCGAAAAAAGCGAUUAAAUUUCUAUCUCAAAUAUGUCGGCAUCAAUUACCACCAAGAGUACUCUAAUCUCUUCGAUUAUCUCCGGCAUAUUGAGUUUAGUUAUAUUUGCAACGUUGCGUUUCUAUGCCCAAUGGUUCAAUGACUCCCAAUUAAACAUUUUGUUUGGCGGCUACCUUUUCUCCUGGUUGUUUAUACUAAGCCUAACCUGCCUGUCAAAUGCAGAGAUGCUGAUUUUUGGCCCCGAUUUUCAAGCCAAGCUUGUGCCGGAAAUUCUUCUAUGUCUUUCGCUAACAGCGGCUGCAGCAGGCGUUGUUCAUCGUGUUUGUGCGACAACCAGUAUUAUUUUCUCCUUGGUCGGACUAUAUUUUCUGAAUCGAAUCUCAUCAAAGUAUUAUAACAACGCAGUUAUUGCUGUGGAUGCUCCAUUGCGAAAAAGUGGUAAAAAAUACAAAUAAAUUUCAUAAUUUAUAUACGAUUUUGUAAUAUGUAAAAUGAGGAAAUUCAUUGUAUAAGCUAAAAACUAAUGACUAAUUACAAUUUAUUUAAUCACGAAGCUGCUGCAUCAUUUCCAGCUUCUGAUGCAACUUCAUUUCCGGCUUCUGUUAGUAAGCUCAGUAUAUUAAAGUCAAUAAAUCGCACCAACUGUAGUAAUGAUAAAAUAAA